rnacentral:rRNA from 1 species
CGGCGGACGGGUGAGUAACACGUGGAUAACCUACCUAUAAGACUGGGAUAACUUCGGGAAACCGGAGCUAAUACCGGAUAAUAUAUUAAACCGCAUGGCUCAAUAGUGAAAGACGGUUUUGCUGUCACUUAUAGAUGGAUCCGCGCCGCAUUAGCUAGUUGGUAAGGUAACGGCUUACCAAGGCAACGAUGCGUAGCCGACCUGAGAGGGUGAUCGGCCACACUGGAACUGAGACACGGUCCAG